UACGUAGGGUGCAAGCGUUAAUCGGAAUUACUGGGCGUAAAGCGCGCGUAGGCGGUUCGAUAAGUCGGAUGUGAAAGCCCUGGGCUCGACCUGGGAAUGCCAUUCGAUACUGUCGAGCUAGAGUAUGGUAGAGGAAAGCGGAAUUCCACAUGUAGCGGUGAAAUGCGUAGAUAUGUGGAGGAACAUCAGUGGCGAAGGCGGCUUUCUGGACUAAUACUGACGCUGAGGUGCGAAAGCGUGGGGAGCAAACAGG
rnacentral:rRNA from 1 species